CUAUAGCUUACUUUGUUUCCAGGAAGAAAUUUUUCAUAAGUUUCUCUUUAAAGUUCAAGGCAAAGGCACAGAUAAAAUAAACUCGAUCACAUGUGAAUGAUUUCACAUCUUUAGAUUGUACUUCCAAGCAAAUUUCCAUGUUGUUUAUGUCCAAAUUUUCUUCAUCUUGAUUCAAAUGUGGGUAAUUCAUGGGGGAAAAAAGUUUUUGUUACAAAGACUCAAAAGCUUUAUGAGCAAAAUUAGGGGAAAUUGUGUUUUAUUAAGUUAGAUUUGAGUAACUGUUGAGAAGUUUCCCAAAUUGAGUUUCCUUAUAGAUGUGAUUAAGCCUGGCAUGUGUGCAUUUGGCUCAUUCUUAAAACAAGCAAAUCAACAAAACUUUUAUUAUGGAAAAUUGUAAACAGGCAAGUUUUAAAAAGGAAGUCUCAUCUGUCUGUCAUACAGAUGUUAUUUCUAUCAUUUCAAUGACAAACUUGUUCCCUUUCUAACUGCUCAACACCCACCUCCAUCCCUUCUGUGUUAUUUUUAAGCAAAUCAACUCAGUACCUUCUUGACAGGGCCCACUAGUUGCUAUCUGUAUCAGUGUAUUUUCCAUUGCUAUAACAAGAUACCUGAGGCUGGGAACUUUAUUAUAAAGAAAUUUUAAAAAGCCUUACUUAGUUCAUACUUUUGGAGACCAAAAAUCCAAGCAGUGUGGCACCAGCUCUGAAGAGGGGAUCUUUCCCUGUAUCCUGUCAUGACAGAUGACAUCAUGGUAAAGAGGGAGUUCAUGUUGCCAGAGAGAUGGGGGAGGAAGGAGCCAGUCUUGCUUGCCUUUUCGUAACAGCCCUCUCCAUAGAACUAACCGUAGACCUAUGGGAAUCAUGUUCAUUUGUCCCAAGAGCAUCACCCUCAAUGACCCAGUUCUUCCUACUACUGCCCACCACCCCCCAGUACUGCCAGCCAUGACCCGUGGGGACAGACGACAUCUAAGCCGUAGCACCCUCCCAGGUGGGCAGGACAGCCACGUUGCUGUGCUAUCAGUGAUGUCAGCCCAUCUUCUGGUAAUGGUGACUCUCUGCAGACAUGACCCAGGACCUUCGCUGAGCUGCCUGUAUUCCUGAACAUGUUUUCCUUUUUGUAGUACCGGGGAUGGAGCCCAGGGGCUGAAGCUUGCCAGGCAAGCACUCUACCACUGAGCCGCAGCCCAGACCCAAGACAUCGGCUCUCAUAUGUAUUUUUGAAAAUCCCAAAUUGGAGUUUCAAAUGUAGGAGCAAAAUAUUUCAGGACCUGAAUGUGCAUACGAAUGAGUAGUUGUAUAAAAUCCUGGAAGAUGGCACCCUGCUUCCGAAGAGGCGGACAGCAGAAGGUCGCCCACUGUGGUGCUCUAGUUUGGUUAUUAUUAAUAUUAAUCCUCUCUGUUCAUGUUCCUGCCUUUGGUUGGAGGGGAGGAGGUCCUGACUGGGAAAGGGGUCUGGGAAGCUCUCUCCAGAACGCCGUCUUUCACAAUUUGUUGUUGGGCCGACCACUGGUCCCCCACGCCCACAUGGCCCCAUGUCUUCCCCCCUCUCCUGCUCACUAGAUUGAGCUGGGCCUGUGGCUGCCCGGGUGGGGCCAUGGGGCUCCAAUUCUUGGGGAUGCCCUGAGCAGCCAUGGUCUCCCUUACCUACUUAAAAGAAGACGCACCCCUCUUCCCCCCCAAAGCAGAGACGCAACCCUGCGCCCGUGUUUGGGCCCAGAGAGUGACAGCGCGGGGGAAGGUGGCAGAACUGAGUCCCAGGUGAUCCCCGGAUGACCCACAGCCUCGCCCCUACCCAGGAGGAACAGAGAAGCGGCUCUUGGUGUCAGCCCCACAGAAGGGAGGAGCAACUCCACAGGCACCCAGAAUCGGCUUAGAUGUUGGAACUGACCAUAGCAUAAAGUCUGGGGCAAGGAGUCAAGAUUCCCUGCUUCCUGGGGGCUUUCUGGUGAGAGACGGGCAGACACAGGUUGGUCCAGCUGAGGUGGGCUUUAGCUGUUAUGGCCCCUAGGAGGCAAAACGGGAGUCUCUGCUGCGGUCAGCUAGCUCAGGUGUGAGGCCAGAUGGGGGCAGGGCGGGGGGUGUCGAGACCUGUGAGUGUCCCAAUGCAGAAGAAAGUCAUCCUCGUAGUUACGAUCCUGUAUGAACACAGUAAUAAGAACUGCCAACCAACCAAGCAGACUCUUCAGACUAGAAAGACCUAUUUUGACCAUGAGAGAACCCACAUUCCAAAUACUAGGAAAAUACUACUUUCUUACAGCCAGUGUCUAACCCUGAAAGAUGUCACCUGCCCACACAGGAGGGAAAGUCACUGAGGCCCGUGACCACGGUACAUUUUCUUAGGAUGUUUACAUGAAUUUUAGUCUUGUCAAGAGGUGUUGGGGGUAGGAGGAGGGAUGAACCUUACGCUCAAACUUCCAGUGAACGCCCCUAGCUACAGUCAAGUGGCCGCCCUCAGCAGAAGACUCACUGAGGCUGUGUCCCUGUGCUGUGUUCGGUGUUAGAUACAGAUUGUUACAUACACACCUGAAGGCAUUCAAUCCUGAUAGCUUUGCAAAACUUACAAAGCAACUUACAAAAUUCUUAAACAAUCCUCUGUCAGACCACAUGUCACCAUUACUCACAAAGCGCUAGAACAAUUAUGCAAAUCAUAUCCUAGAAAUAGCUCUGGGUAUCCCAUAAUUCCUCAAGACAGAUAUGCAAAUGAGGCUGAUCGUGACUGUGGGUUCAGAGAAUGACACUCACCACGGCUCUGCUGUGCAUGUCACUCUGUACCGUGAACGCCUGUGCGGGUCCCUUCCUUUCUCCUCUGUCUGGCACACUGCCAGGCGUGUGGGUCAAACCCAGGAGGAAAUGGGAAACAGAAGGGGGUGCGGGUCUUCAAUAAGAGGACCAGGGAGACCCUACAGUACUCCUGCACGUCGCACCUGACAGUUCCAGUCCCGAUUAGUUAAUAAGAGAACAUUAGGUUGGCAUUGAAACAAAUCAUUUCCAAAGCCUUCCGAAUUGUAGCCCGUGUGCCUCUUCAAGACAGUGAAGCCAGCCCUUGCUCUUUCCAGGUUCAGAUAGCGCCUAAGAAACCACACAGACGCACAGUGCCUGGGGGUGGGGCGGCUCGGAGCCUGGGAAGUGUCUGAAUGGCUCCCCACCUGUCACAGGGUGGCCACUUACACCUUGAUUUUGUAAAUGACUAAAUGAUUCUUCCUAGAACUACCAAGUUAGUAACAGCUUUAAUUUACCUGUCUCCUUAAUGUGACUGGGAGAUAAGAUCAUUGCAUGUUUGCCUUGACGUUACAAAGCAAGCAUUCUUUCAGGAUUUCUCUGCGUGAUUGUAAGUGACUGUAAGACUUCAGGCUUUCAGAUGCCAAUUUCAAGCUUUAUUUACCUGUAUACAGGGUGGGUUGGAUACCUAGUAUCUACUUGGUGUCUGCCGUGGUACCUAGUACCUGCUUAGCUUCCCCCAGAUACCUGGAACCUACAUAGCUUCCCCCGAGUGAGUGCCUAGUACCUACUUAGUCUCCCCUGGGUACUUCCUACCUGCUUAGUCUCUCCUAGAUACCUAGUAUCUACUUAGCUUCACCUGGGUAACUAGUACCUACUUGGCCUCUCCUGCCACUUGCCCCCUUUUUCUCGUAAUCAAAAGUACACGAUAACCCUCUUCUGUGCUGUAAGCUUGCUGUUGCUCCCCUCCUUGGGGAGGGGCCAGGGUGGUCUUCUGAGGGUCACUGUUGAUUUCUGUUCAGCUCUGACAGCCCCUUGGCUGGUUCUCCCCACAGCAAGACUGGAUGUGACACACUUCCUCUGUUAAAAGGACCAUACUCCUUACUGGCACUUGGACAUUUGGGUAAAACUAGAACAGAAAACUUGGAGGAGAAAAUGGUGUGCUUUUAUUUCACUUAGAGAAAUGUAUUUUUAAAUAGAUUCCAGAGUGAGGAGAGAGAGCAGAGGGAGGCAGAAACAUGUAAGAACUCAGGAGGAGGGGAAGAUGGAACGGGGACCAUUUUUGUUCUGGUUUUGUGGUUUUUCCUUCUCCCUCAGUCGGUAAGUGGAGAUGCACUGCCCAGCACCCAGUACAGACAGCGGAUCUCCUUAUCCUGCGGCCCUGUCUUGGUCCGUCUCUGGGUGGGCGUCUGUCUUGCUCUGUGGUUCUGGGUGUCUCUGCCAAGUUCCUCCAAUUAACUGGCUGCCUCAUCAGCAAGAAAACUGGCCCCUCCUCUCCGCGGGUCCUUCCUCACGGCCUGACAUGGCUGCAGCCUUCCAGUCCGGCGGCCAUCUGUGACGGGACAGGACAGCUGGAUUCCUUCCGACACUUUUCCUGAUUCCUGCAAUAGAUGGGUGAUCUCAGAAAGUUUAAGCACCUACGGAUCAAAACUGUGAAGUGCAAUUAAACAGGACUGUCCUCGUCUUAACUAAUAAAUCACGUCCAACCCUU